UCCGAAUUGGUGUAGUGGCUAACAUUUGACGCUCUCAAAAGCCUUCUAGCUGAAGGACCGUCAAGCCCGGGGUUCGAUUCCCCGAUUCGGAG
rnacentral:tRNA from 1 species